rnacentral:rRNA from 1 species
GAUGAACGCUGGCGGCGUGCCUAAUACAUGCAAGUCGAGCGAACGGACGAGAAGCUUGCUUCUCUGAUGUUAGCGGCGGACGGGUGAGUAACACGUGGAUAACCUACCUAUAAGACUGGGAUAACUUCGGGAAACCGGAGCUAAUACCGGAUGAUAUUUUGAACCGCAUGGUUCAAAAGUGAAAGACGGUCUUGCUGUCACUUAUAGAUGGAUCCGCGCUGCAUUAGCUAGUUGGUAAGGUAACGGCUUACCAAGGCAACGAUGCAUAGCCGACCUGAGAGGGUGAUCGGCCACACUGGAACUGAGACACGGUCCAGACUCCUACGGGAGGCAGCGUAGGGAAUCUUCCGCAAUGGGCGAAAGCCUGACGGAGCAACGCCGCGUGAGUGAUGAAGGCCUUCGGAUCGUAAAACUCUGUUAUUAGGGAAGAACAUAUGUGUAAGUAACUGUGCACAUCUUGACGGUACCUAAUCAGAAAGCCACGGCUAACUACGUG